UCAAUCAAAAUUAUUAUGUUUUUUAAACAUUGUUUAAUAAUGUUUACAUGUUUUGUAGUAAUUGGAAUUUGGAUUAUGCCAGCUACUUCUACAAAAGAAUUAGAUACUUUAAAAGGGUCUUGUCGAUAUUUUCUAAAGU